CUGACCUCAAAUCAAGUAGGACUACCCGCUGAACUUAAGCAUAUCAAUAAGCGGAGGAAAAGAAACUAACAAGGAUUCCCCUAGUAACUGCGAGUGAAGCGGGAAAAGCUCAAAUUUAAAAUCUGGCAGCUUUGGCUGUCCGAGUUGUAGUCUGGAGAAGCGUUUUCUGUGCUGGACCGUGUACAAGUCUCUUGGAAUAGAGCGUCAUAGAGGGUGAGAAUCCCGUCUUUGACACGGACUGCCAGUGCUAUGUGAUGCGCUCUCAAAGAGUCGAGUUGUUUGGGAAUGCAGCUCAAAAUGGGUGGUAAAUUCCAUCUAAAGCUAAAUAUUGGCGAGAGACCGAUAGCGAACAAGUACCGUGAGGGAAAGAUGAAAAGCACUUUGGAAAGAGAGUUAAACAGUACGUGAAAUUGUUGAAAGGGAAACGAUUGAAGUCAGUCGCGUCUUCUAGAACUCAGCCUGGCUUUUGCUCGGUGCAUUUUCUAGUUGACGGGCCAGCAUCAGUUUCGACCGCUGGAUAAAGGCUUCGGGAAUGUGGCACCUUCGGGUGUGUUAUAGCCCGGAGUCACAUACAGCGGUUGGGACUGAGGAUCACAGCAUGCCUUUUGGCCGGGGUUCGCCCACGUUCAUGCUUAGGAUGCUGGCGUAAUGGCUUUAAACGACCCGUC
rnacentral:rRNA from 1 species